UACGGAGGAUACGAGCGUUGUCCGGAAUUACUGGGUUUAAAGGGUGCGUAGGCGGUUAGAUAAGUCAGAGUUAAAAGGCUACAGCUCAACUGUGGUAAGGCUUUGAUACUGUUUAACUUGAGUGCUAUGAAAGCAGACGGAAUUGGUAGAGUAGCGGUGAAAUGCUUAGAUACUACCAAGAACACCAAUAGCGAAGGCAGUCUGCUUUGUAGAAACUGACGCUGAGGCACGAAAGCGUGGGUAGCAAACAGG
rnacentral:rRNA from 1 species